UACGGGGGGGACAAGCGUUGUUCGGAAUUACUGGGCGUAAAGGGCUCGUAGGCGGCCCGCUAAGUCGGAUGUGAAAUCCCCAGGCUCAACCUGGGAACUGCAUCCGAUACUGGAUGGCUUGAAUCCGGGAGAGGGAUGCAGAAUUCCAGGUGUAGCGGUGAAAUGCGUAGAUAUCAUGAGGAAGACCAGUGGCGAAGGCGGGUCUCUGGACAGUUCCUGACACUGAGGCACGAAGGCCAGGGGAGCAAACGGG
rnacentral:rRNA from 1 species